rnacentral:rRNA from 1 species
UACGAAGGGUGCUAGCGUUGUUCGGAAUUACUGGGCGUAAAGGGCUUGUAGGUGGCCAACUAAGUCAGACGUGAAAUCCCUCGGCUUAACCGGGGAACUGCGUCUGAUACUGGAUGGCUUGAGUGUGGGAGAGGGAUGCGGAAUUCCAGGUGUAGCGGUGAAAUGCGUAGAUAUCAGGAGGAACACCUGAGGCGAAGGCGGGUUGCUAGGCUGACACUGACGCUGAUGCGCGAAAGCUAGGGUAGCAAACGGG